rnacentral:rRNA from 1 species
AACGAACGUUAGCGGCGCGCCUAACACAUGCAAGUCGAGCGAGAAAGGGAGCAAUCCCCGGUACAGCGGCGCACGGGUGAGUAACACGUAGGUAACCUACCCUCGAGUGGUGGAUAACCUUCCGAAAGGAGGGCUAAUACAGCAUGAGCCCACGGAGUCGAGAGACUCUGGGGGGAAAAGCCGGCCUCUUCAUGAAAGCUGGUGCUCGGGGAUGGGCCUGCGGCCCAUCAGCUAGUUGGUGAGGCAAUGGCUCACCAAGGCUAAGACGGGUAGCUGGUCUGGGAGGAUGAUCAGCCACACUGGAACUGGGACACGGUCCAGACUCCUACGGGAGGCAGCAGUGGGGAAUCUUGCGCAAUGGGCGAAAGCCUGACGCAGCGACGCCGCGUGAGUGAUGAAGGCCUUCGGGUUGUAAAGCUCUGUGGAGGGGGACGAAUAAGGCAUGGCCAACAUCCAUGUCGAUGACGGUACCCCUUUAGCAAGCACCGGCUAACUCUGUGCCAGCCGCCGCGGUAACAC